AUUGAACGCUAGCGGGAUGCCUUACACAUGCAAGUCGAACGGAGUGGCGAACGGGUGAGUAAUGUAUCGGAACGUGCCCAGUAGCGGGGGAUCACUACGCGAAAGCGUAGCUAAUACCGCAUACUUUUGGAGCGGCCGAUAUCGGCUUAGCUAGUUGGUGGGGUAACGGCUCACCAAGGCGACGAUCCGUAGCUGGUUUGAGAGGACGACCAGCCACACUGGGACUGAGACACGGCCCAGACGCCGACGGGAGGCAGCAGUAGGGAAUUUUGGGCAAUGGACGAAAGCCUGAUCCAGCAAUGCCGCGGGAGUGAUGAAGGCCUUCGGAUUGUAAAGCACUGUUGGUAGGGAAGCGGUAGCUACACAAUAAGCACCGGCUAACUACGUGCCAGCAGCCGCGGUAAUAC
rnacentral:rRNA from 1 species